UUGUGAAAUUGUGACAAGAAGCUCAUUUUACCAAGAAUUUGGUCGUUUUGUCCCCUCAGUGGCCUUCUGGGGGGAAUAAAUCAAGCUGAAAAGUGUCUUGGCAGAUCCUUGUUUCACAGCUGGAGCUUUCAGUUGAGUUCACUUCUGGCCUCAAGUUUGACUCCAAAUGUAAAAUUCUCAUCUGGCGUUCGAUUGAAUCAUAUAGCAACUUACAGACUUUGAGCUUUUAUUUUUUUUUAUCUGGCUGCUUCUCAUCUGAAUGUGGGUGGUUUACGGUAGAAAAAAAAAAAAUCUAAAAUCAAAUAAUAACCUCCCCCCCCACUUCUCUGUAGUCAUUGAGAGGCAUCUAGUCCAGCAGAAUUAAAUUCAUGUUCCCUGAGCUGCUGAGGAAUCUUUGCUCUGCUGUACGUCUGUCCAGGAUCCAGAGGAGGUGUAAUUAAGCAAAUCUCCCACUAACUCAUUUCCUUCUGUACAGCAAGGAUUAUGGCUGACUGCUGGUUACCAUGGUGAGAGAGCUCCUUCAUCGCGCUGACUGAGAAACGGUGAUGAUUUCAGCUGAAAGUGAUACUGAAGUGAGAAUGGAAAGUGAAUUUAUUUUCUCAUUGAACAUGAAACCAGACUCAUCUGCUCUCUCAUACCAGAAAAUGACAUGUUAGUGAUUAUUGGCUCAUUCAAACCUGAUUCUUAUAUAUAUAUAUUUAGUGAAUAAAGGAAAACAGCUUUAAAUAUUACAGUGAAUGCAUCCAGAAAGGACUCAGGAUGGGCUUGUACAAACUGCGGCCCAGGGGCCAUUUGCAGCCCUCGUACUAAUUUUGUGCAGCUCCUGACUUAAAAUAAGAAUGGUGGAAAAGCACAGGCAGUCCAUGCAGAUGGACUUUUUUUUAACUUUUAAUCUGUCCAGAAACAGUUACUCAAAGCCAGUUUUUUACACAAACUUGGCUUAAUACAGUAAAGAAAGUUCCACCUGGAUCCUGUUCUUAUAGCUGAAAAUAGAUCAUUUUCUUUCUCAGUUGAGCACAGAAGAUUUUAUAAACUGGAAAGUAAUGUUUGUCUCAAAUAAGGCAAACAUGCAAAACGUUUUUAAAGUUUUGAAUUGACAAUAACGUACACUUCUUUCUCCUUUAAAAAAGACAAAAGGACUACUUUGGUUUAGUAAAUAUUCCAUUCAUAAUUUGUCAAGCAGGUAUAAAAAUUCACAAUGUAAGUUUUGUUAAUUUAAAUAUUUUCAAUUUAUUUUCUCUUUUUUACCUCCAAAUAUUUUUGGCAGGAUUUUUUUCAACCAAACGACAAAACAUUUGGACACGACUGGUUUAGGAGUAUUUCAACUUCAAUCACUCCAACCACUUUAGUAGACAAGUUCUAUAAUUUUUUUAUUUCAUUUUAAUUUAAUUAUGCUUUGUGCUUUAAACAAAGAACAGAAAAGCUGUGUGUUGACAAAACUAAGUACACCCUUGCAACUUUUAAACUAUUUAGGGAGAGAGGAACCAAAUGCACUUGAUUAACGCAUCAACAAUGUGAACAGCUCUAUCAAAAUGGAGUUACGGUGGUUUGAUGCUCUGAAACAUACAGGUGUCUAUUAACUUGAAACAAAGGUGGAAAGACAACAGCAAUAUUUCAGAGAAGGAACUAUUGCUGCCUGUCAAUGUGAGAGGGGGUUAUAAACUCAUUACCAAACAAUCUGAAGUUAAUCAUUCUACUGAGAAAGAUUAUUCACAACUGGAAAACAUUUAAGACAGUUCCCAAUCCUUCCAGGAGUGGAGUCCCAACAAAUUCCCCCAAAGUCAGAGCUUGCAAUGUUUAGAAACAUGGUAAAAACCUAAUGACUCCAUCUUAGACUCUACAGGCCUCAGCCAGCAUGUCAAAUGUUAAAGAAAUAAAGUAUGUUAGCAAAAAUGUUCAGCAAAAAAGAAGGAAAGGGAAAUGCAAAUUAGGCAUGUUUCCAUCUACUGGUUGGUAGUGAAUCAAUAUUACUACUCAAAGCACAAUUUCAUCAGAUUUUGAUGCCACAUAGGGCUGUAAUAAACAGCAUGCAGAGGUUGCAAACUAGCUUAGAUCACCAAAAAAAUCUCAAAAAAAAUGGAAAGAAACUAGAGGAUUAGGCUAGUGUUGUGCCUCUGGUAAGGCACGGACCCACCAGUGAAUGGGGAAAUUUGAAACGUCAGAAUUUGUCCAAAUGUCUUUCCAUCUACCCUUCAGCGCAUUAACCUCAAGCAAAAAUAAAAACCUUUUACUAAAUUAAAGAAGUUAUCUCAAAUUUGACCAUUUCCAUCAACCUUUCCUAAUUCAAAAUUGAUAA